rnacentral:rRNA from 1 species
UACGUAGGGGGCAAGCGUUGUCCGGAUUUACUGGGCGUAAAGAGCGUGUAGGCGGCCAAGCAGGUCCGUUGUGAAAACUCGAGGCUUAACCUCGAGCUGUCGGCGGAAACCAUCUGGCUAGAGUCCGGAAGAGGAGAAUGGAAUUCCCGGUGUAGCGGUGAAAUGCGCAGAUAUCGGGAAGAACACCCGUGGCGAAGGCGGUUCUCUGGGACGGUACUGACGCUGAGACGCGAAAGCGUGGGGAGCGAACAGG